UACGGAGGGGGCAAGCGUUAUCCGGAUUCACUGGGUUUAAAGGGUGCGUAGGCGGGGAAGGAAGUCCGUGGUGAAAUCUCUGAGCUUAACUCAGAAACUGCCGUGGAUACUAUUUGCCUUGAAUAUUGUGGAGGUGAGCGGAAUAUGUCAUGUAGCGGUGAAAUGCUUAGAUAUGACAUAGAACACCAAUUGCGAAGGCAGCUCACUACACAAUCAUUGACGCUGAGGCACGAAAGCGUGGGGAUCAAACAGG
rnacentral:rRNA from 1 species